rnacentral:rRNA from 2 species
UGGGGAAUAUUGCACAAUGGAGGGAACUCUGAUGCAGCGACGCCGCGUGAACGAAGAAGGCUUUCGAGUCGUAAAGUUCUUUUAUAUGGGAAGAUAAUGACGGUACCAUAAGAAAAAGCCCCGGCUAACUACGUGCCAGCAGCCGCGGUAAUACGUAGGGGGCUAGCGUUGUCCGGAAUCACUGGGCGUAAAGGGUUCGCAGGCGGAAAUGCAAGUCAGGUGUAAAAGGCAGUAGCUUAACUACUGUAAGCAUUUGAAACUGCAUAUCUUGAGAAGAGUAGAGGUAAGUGGAAUUUUUAGUGUAGCGGUGAAAUGCGUAGAUAUUAAAAAGAAUACCGGUGGCGAAGGCGACUUACUGGGCUCAUUCUGACGCUGAGGAACGAAAGCAUGGGUAGCAAACAGG